GGGAGCCCUAGCACAGGUGCUGCAUGGCCGUCGUCAGCUCGUGCCGUGAGGUGUUGGGUUAGGUCCCGCAACGAGCGCAACCCCUACGUUUAGUUGCUAACGCGUGAAGGCGAGCACUCUAGACGAACUGCCGUUGACAAAACGGAGGAAGUGGGGAUGACGUCAAAUCAUCAUGCCCCUUAUGUUCUGGGCUACACACGUGCUACAAUGGCCGGUACAGACGGACGCAAAGCCGCGAGGUGGAGCAAAUCCUAAAAAAGCCGGUCUCAGUUCGGAUUGCAGGCUGCAAUUCGCCUGCAUGAAGUCGGAAUCGCUAGUAAUCGCAGGUCAGCAUACUGCGGUGAAUACGUUCCCGGGCCUU
rnacentral:rRNA from 1 species